UUGACAGUAUAACGUUGACCGGUGCUCAGUAGUUUCGGGAUUGGUCAAGUAUGGUGUAAACAAAUAUUAUUCAUGAAAUUGGGUGAUGUAAAUCAAUAUCGUCUUUCUGUUUGAAUUCUAUUAAAAAAUCCGUUAGUAUGUUGACGUGGCAUAUUGUUGUAGGUACCCCUCUCCAAUACUAUGAUGCCAUGUAAAUUAGAAUAACAAAAUUUUAAUUUUAAUUAGUCCUUGUAUUAAUUAAAUAGAAAAAAUAAAAAAUGAAAAAAAUAAAAUAAAAGCUUGAUCCCUUCCUUUCUUGCUGGGCAUCGUCUCGAGUCGCCGGAAAG
rnacentral:lncRNA from 1 species